AUUAACGUGACGAAUAUUACGAUUAUAGACGGCCUGAUGUCUGAUACCGUUGCGGUAUAUUAUACUGUGAAUCGUAUCGCACAACAAUAAUUGCGCGAACAAACGAUAAUAGCGAGGGUUGUUGUUUCCAAAGGAGAAAAACCCGACGAAAAUCAACAAUUGAUAAACUAUCUUAUACAUGCUUGCUCCUGUAAAUUAAAUCGUCGCAGAGCGCACGCGAUGGGGAUUCACUGCGAAACGAGGAUUGCGCGUACCACAUGAUUGUACGUGGCGUUGAAAUUUUUUUAGUUUUUGAAACGUGUCCAAAACCUUAUUAGUAUGGAUUGGUGUACUUUUGUUAGUCAUCGGAAUAAACAUUCGUGGAAAAGCCGAAUAGGCGAAUUCACCGUAAUUUUACAUUUGAGUCACGUACCGCAAAAUACAACUUGGCAGACUUAGUAUACACACACAUAUAUCCAUGUAUUAUAUGUCUCGGAGCAAUAAUCCAGUUCAACUAACAGAAAACUCAUUCUGGAGCCGGUUUGUUUAAUCUGUCACGCCAUUUCAUUCGCGGUGAACAGGCCUCUUAUUUCGUUCUAAAAAUUUGUGGAGUUGCAACAGGAAAAAAUAUCGUAUUUUUAUAUGCAAUACGAUGGAGGAAGAUUCAUAAGCUCAAUAAAUUAUAGGCCACAAUUAAUUUUGAGUAGAAUUAUCGCUAUGGAAACGGUUUGACUAUUUGUUUCGCUAAGGAUCAUGAGUUUUAAAAUUCAAUUUUGAGUUGUAUAAUUCUACGACAGAACGAGAGCGUCGACAGUGUAUUCCACAAUGGCACUAAUAGAAAAUGUACAGAAAUAAAAUUAUCAUUACGUGUAUCGUUAGUUUGUCCACCCAAAAAUGUUUAUGAAGCCAUGGAUUUUUGGACGUGUUGAAAAAUUUAAAGUAUUAUAUUGGUCAAAAG